rnacentral:rRNA from 2 species
GGCUCAGAACGAACGCUGGCGGCAGGUCUAACACAUGCAAGUCGAGCGCCGUAGCAAUACGGAGCGGCAGACGGGAGAGUAACACGUGGGUACGUGCCCUUCAGUUCGGAACAACCCAGGGAAACUUGGGCUAAUACCGGAUACGUCCGUAGGGAGAAAGAUUUAUCGCUGAAGGAUCGGCCCGCGUCUGAUUAGCUAGUUGGUGGGGUAACGGCCCACCAAGGCGACGAUCAGUAGCUGGUCUGAGAGGAUGAUCAGCCUCACUGGGACUGAGACACGGCCCAGACUCCUACGGGAGGCAGCAGUGGG